rnacentral:rRNA from 1 species
AGCGUAGGCGGCGUGGUAAGUCAGAUGUGAAAUCCCGGGGCUCAACCCCGGAACUGCAUCCGAUACUGCCGUGCUAGAGGAUUGGAGAGGUAGCUGGAAUUCACGGUGUAGCAGUGAAAUGCGUAGAUAUCGUGAGGAACAUUCGUGGCGAAAGCGAGCUACUGGACAACUCCUGACGCUGAGGCUCGAAGGCCAGGGUAGCGAAAG